rnacentral:rRNA from 1 species
GAUGAACGCUGGCGGCGUGCUUAACACAUGCAAGUCGAACGGAAAGGCUCCUGCUUGCAGGGGUACUCGAGUGGCGAACGGGUGAGUAACACGUGGGUGAUCUGCCCUGCACUUCGGGAUAAGCCUGGGAAACUGGGUCUAAUACCGGAUAGGACCACAUUUUGGAUGGUGUGGUGGAAAGUUUUUCGGUGUGGGAUGAGCUCGCGGCCUAUCAGCUUGUUGGUGGGGUAGUGGCCUACCAAGGCGUCGACGGGUAGCCGGCCUGAGAGGGUGUACGGCCACAUUGGGACUGAGAUACGGCCCAGACUCCUACGGGAGGCAGCAGUGGGGAAUAUUGCACAAUGGGCGCAAGCCUGAUGCAGCGACGCCGCGUGGGGGAUGACGGCCUUCGGGUUGUAAACUCCUUACGCUAGGGACGAAGCGCAAGUGACGGUACCGGGAGAAGAAGCACCGGCUAACUACGUG